rnacentral:rRNA from 1 species
UUCGAAGGGGGCUAGCGUUGCUCGGAAUUACUGGGCGUAAAGCGCACGUAGGCGGCUUCUUAAGUCGGUGGUGAAAUCCUGGAGCUCAACUCCAGAACUGCCUUCGAUACUGGGAAGCUCGAGUCCGGGAGAGGUGAGUGGAACUGCGAGUGUAGAGGUGAAAUUCGUAGAUAUUCGCAAGAACACCAGUGGCGAAGGCGGCUCACUGGCCCGGUACUGACGCUGAGGUGCGAAAGCGUGGGGAGCAAACAGG